rnacentral:rRNA from 1 species
ACCGGCAAACGGGUGCGGAACACGUACGCAACCUUCCUUUAACUGGAGAAUAGCCCGGGGAAACCCGGAUUAAUACUCCGUAACAUUAUGAAGUGGCAUCACUUUAUAAUUAUAGCUCCGGCGGUUGAAGAUGGGCGUGCGUCUGAUUAGGUAGUUGGCGGGGUAACGGCCCACCAAGCCUACGAUCAGUAACUGGUGUGAGAGCACGACCUGUCACACGGGCACUGAGACACGGGCCCGACUCCUACGGGAGGCAGCAGUAAGGAAUAUUGGUCAAUGGACGCAAGUCUGAACCAGCCAUGCCGCGUGGAGGAUGAAGGUCCUCUGGAUUGUAAACUUCUUUUAUUUGGGAAGAAACCCCCGAUUUCUAUUGGGGUUGACGGUACCAGAUGAAUAAGCACCGGCUAACUCCGUGCCAGCAGCCGCGGUAAUACGGAGGGUGCAAGCGUUAUCCGGAUUCACUGGGUUUAAAGGGUGCGUAGGCGGGUUGGUAAGUCCGUGGUGAAAUCUCCAAGCUUAACUUGGAAACUGCCGUGGA